GACGAACGCUGGCGGCGUGCCUAAUACAUGCAAGUAGAACGCUGAAGCGAGGAGCUUGCUCUUCUUGGAUGAGUUGCGAACGGGUGAGUAACGCGUAAGUAACCUGCCUGGUAGCGGGGGAUAACUAUUGGAAACGAUAGCUAAUACCGCAUAACAACAGUUGUUGCAUGACAGCUGUUUAAAAGAUGCAAUUGCAUCACUACCAGAUGGACCUGCGUUGUAUUAGCUAGUUGGUGAGGUAACGGCUCACCAAGGCGACGAUACAUAGCCGACCUGAGAGGGUGAUCGGCCACACUGGGACUGGGACACGGCCCAGACUCCUACGGGAGGCAGCAGUAGGGAAUCUUCGGCAAUGGGGGGAACCCUGACCGAGCAACGCCGCGUGAGUGAAGAAGGUUUUCGGAUCGUAAAGCUCUGUUGUAAGAGAAGAACGGGUGUGAGAGUGGAAAGUUCACACUGUGACGGUAUCUUACCAGAAAGGGACGGCUAACUACGUG
rnacentral:rRNA from 1 species